GCUUAUUUUGCGCAGCUUAGGUGGGAGGCUAUGAACCUUUUCUUCUGGGAAGAGGGGAGCCAUCAGUGAGAUACCACUCUUGGUAAGCUAGAGCGCUCAGUCUUCACCGUCAUCCGGUAAGACGACAGUUUCAGGCGGGCAGUUUGACUGGGGCAGUCACCUCCCAAAAGGUAAUGGAGGUGUGCAAAGGUUCCCUCAGGCUGGACGGAAAUCAGCCAUAGAGUGUAAAAGCAUAAGGGAGCUUGACUGCGAGACUGACAUGUCAAGCAGAGACGAAAGUCGGCUUUAGUGAUCCGACGGUGCUGUGUGGAAAGGCCGUCGCUCAACGGAUAAAAGUUACUCUAGGGAUAACA
rnacentral:rRNA from 1 species